AUUGAACGCUGGCGGCAGGCCUAACACAUGCAAGUCGAACGGAUGCACGGUGCUUGCUUGCGGUUUCGGCGGGGGACGGGUGGGUGAUGCCUAGGAAUAUGCCUUUUUGUGGUGUAUUACGUCCUAACACGGGCGCUAAUACCCCAAUCGUCCUGAUGACGCAAGUGGGUGAGCUUGGGAUCUCAUGCUCUUGGGUGAGCGUAGGUCGGAAUAGCUAGUUGGUGGGUUCAAGGCCUACCGAGGCGGCAAUCCGUAACUGGUCUGAGAGGCUGAUCAGUCACACUGGAACUGAGACACGGUCCAGACUCCUACGGGAGGCAGCAGUGGGGAAUAUUGGACAAUGGGCGAAAGCCUGAUCCAGCCAUGCCGCGUGGGUGAAGAAGGUCUUCGGAUUGUAAAGCCCUUUUAGUGGGGAAGAAGGGCAGUAAGUUAAUACCUCGCUGUUUUGACGGUACCGACAGAAUAAGCACCGGCUAACUUCGUG
rnacentral:rRNA from 1 species